CCUACGGGAGGCAGCAGUAGGGAAUCUUGCUCAAUGGGCGAAAGCCUGAAGCAGCAACGCCGCGUGGAGGAUGAAGGUCUUAGGAUCGUAAAACCCUUUUGUUAGAGAAGAAAAUGCGUGAAUGUAACGGUUCACGUUUGGACUGUAUCGAGCCAGAAGGCGACGGCUAACGACGUGCCAGCAGCCGCGGUAAUACGGAGGGGGCAAGCGUUAUCCGGGUUUGUUGAGCGUAAAGGGAGCGCAGUCGGGUUGUUAAGUCUGAUGUGAAAGCCUGCGGCUUAACCGGAGUAGUGCAUUUGAAACUGGGAGUCUGGAGUGCAGAAGAGGUAGGUGGAAUUCGUGGUGUAGCGGUGAAAUGCGUAGAGAUCAAGAAGAACACUCAUUGCGAAGGCGGCCUGCUGGUCUGUUACUGACGCUGAUGCUCGAAAGCGUGGGUAGCAAACAGGAUUAGAUACCCGAGUAGUC
rnacentral:rRNA from 1 species